rnacentral:lncRNA from 1 species
ACAAAUUUUGGUUUUUGAAUUCAAAGUUUUUAAACUUUCUAAUGGUUAUCAAUGGAGUUUAAGCUCAUGUAUGCACGGCAUAAUUCAGUAUAGUUACAAUUAUAUCAUCAAUCAGAAACAGUCACUCAUGUACACAAUGUCUUGUUUAUUCAUCAAAAAGACUAAAGGUAACUCAUUUAUGUUGGUGCUUCACAUAUGUAUUCUAUGGCUUUGCAUCAGUUGGAUCAUUUUUCUUCACUGUUCUUCAAAGAUCCAAA